AAAAGUGAUAAAAUGGUAUAAAAAGCCGUACUUUUUUACCAGGUACCCAAAAGGUUCUAAAGUUUCAACGGAACACUAUCGAAAAGAAAAAAAUAAACAACAUGUCACGAGUUACUUCAUUAUUAUCAAUAAUUUUAUUCAUUGGCUGCUUUCUACACUUUACAAAAUUACCGGGUGUAUUGGCUAAGCAAAAUCCAGGCCCAAACUGUUUCGGGAACGAUUGUUCCCUGAUGUGGCCAUGUUGUCAAGGUUUCCAUUGUACCUCUAUUGCCAACGGUAAAUGCGGAUUCUAGGUCCACAAGAAAGUAAACCUGAUUUUCUUUAAUAUCUAAUGAUAAUUAUUAUAAAAUUAAAAAUGAAAUCUUAGUUGAUACAAUUGUACUUUUUAUCAAGUGUGAAAAUACCGUUGUAGUUUCAAAUAAAAUAAAAAUUACAAUUUUUAAAUAAAAA